UCCGGAACCGGGACGUGGC
rnacentral:snRNA from 1 species